GGCAAGCCGGCGCCGGGGGGCCGACACCCCGCUGGGCUGCCCCCGCCGGGCGAGGCGAGGCGAGGCGGGGCGGGGCAUGAAAUGGUGGCCGCCCGGCAGCAGUGCCUGCCGCGCCGCCCCUCCGGGGCCGGGCGCGCUCCCGCCGGCGGGUGAUCUCGGGUCUGCCGCUGCCUCCGGAUGUCCUGGGGCCGUUUUUGCUGUGUUUUGGGGUGCCCAGCAGCGCCUGGAAAAAGCCCACCUUUCAGGCGGUGUUUUUCGGUGUGGGAGAUGCGCCGCGGGGCGCGCAGGGCUGUAAACGAGGGGAGAAGAGGUGCUGAGCGCUCGGUUAACUACGAGGUUAAAAGUUAAUGCCAGGCCUUCGCUGAGAGGAAAGUUAGUUGGCAACUGCAAACUGGGCUGCGAUUAGAAAAGGGAAGGCAUGGCUGCUUCCUCGGGGCAGCAGAAAUAACAGCUUAUGGGGUUUAGCAUGGGAAGGCAUUGGUGGGGAGAGAAGAGCUAUUGCGAGCUGCACAGCCAGUGUCCACAGCCUCUGGUGUCCAGUGCGGUUAAGUUAUGCUGGAAGAAGAUACUUGAAAGAAACCUCUGUGUGCUUAUCCUAGCUCAUUGUUUCCUUUGAGACUAGUCAUGUGCUGAUAAUCGAGCAAGCAGGUCUAUGUUGUACUUAUUUCAAGAAGAAAAUCUUAAGUUUAGAGUGGCAACUCAAACCUUCAUCUUCAGUUUCCUUCCUGUGAAGUGGGAAUAGAUUUCAAAGAGACUGAUGCACCUACAAAUACAUACAGACUAAGAACUGACAGAAGGCGCUAUUUCCAGUUGCACUUCCUCAGUCUCACAGAGCAAGCGAGAAUGAAAAAAUGUUCAGUGUUGUUCCAGCCAACAGCUCCAGAUAGCCAUGAGAGAGUAAAUUACUUUCUAAUAUUGAAUAUAUUCAGGAGGACUGCUGUAUAUCUCAGUGUAUCCCUUCAAACUUCUUCAGCUUCCACCAGAAAAUUUUUUUGAAAUCUUCAUCUGAGCUAAGCUGCCUGCUAAACCUUACACCUCUGGACUUGCCAUUUCUGUGUUGUACCACUAGUAUCCUGUGCUUACUGGUGUUCCUGCUGACUGUCUCCAAUAGCCACUGAAGAAGGACUGU